GUAGGGAAUAUUGCGCAAUGGGGGAAACCCUGACGCAGCGACGCCGCGUGAGUGAUGAAGGCCUUCGGGUCGUAAAGCUCUGUUGCAGGGGAAUAAAAAAAUGAAGGUACCCUGUGAGGAAGGAUCGGCUAACUUCGUGCCAGCAGCCGCGGUAAGACGAGGGAUCCUAGCGUUGAUCGGAAUCAUUGGGCGUAAAGAGGGCGUAGGUGGCUUGGUAAGUCAGGUGUGAAAGCCCAGGGCUCAACCCUGGAAGUGCAUUUGAUACUGCUGAGCUUGAGUGUCGGAGAGGUUACCGGAAUACCUGGUGUAGUGGUGAAAUACGUAGAUAUCAGGUGGAACACAGGAGGCGAAGGCGGGUAACUGGACGAACACUGACACUGAGGCCCGAAAGCGUGGGGAUCAAACAGGAUUAGAUACCCCUGUAGUCC
rnacentral:rRNA from 1 species